CUCAUGUCCCCAUUGAAGAAAAAUAAACGUAUGUGUAAAAUCCUCUUAUCAAUUUGACCAUUAGAUUUUUUUUAUUUUCUUUACUGAAAAAUACUGCUGCUUUGUGGAAUUUCUUCAUCUUAUAAUGUUCUCCCGUGUAAUUUGAACAGAUGAAGCAUAAAUAUACUAUUUCUGUUGUACAUCUUAACUUAGUAUACGAUGGCUUGCUGUGCACAUGCUACAGCCACGAUAUGUAUAUGGUUCCUUAUGUAUUACCACGUUGGUUUGAAACUGCACAGAAUUAUUUCUUUUGCUGUUUAAUGGUUAGUUAUUGAUUUAUAUUUUGAAGAUUCUGCUCUUGUUUCCCUUCCGAAAUAAAAGUUGAUCUUCAAGUUUCCUUAGUCACACAUAUGAUUAUUAUGUACGACUAUAGCAUCAGCAAGGUGUUUUUAAUUAUUACCAAGUGAUGAAUAUUUGAACCACUAUUUGGCGGUAAGUUAGAAGCUUUCCCUUGCUUUCCGAAAAUAAUAUGGGUACUUCUGUUACAGCUCGGAGCUGAUGUAGUGUUAUCUCAGUACAGUGUCCAAUAUAAAUUUUGUUCUGUAUUCAUAUCCACUUCUAGUCAAAAUAAUCACAGUUGUAUUAUCUUUUUGACUGCCUUUUUGUCAACAUGGUAUCUCGAUGUAUCCUUUAAAAAUCAUGAAUAAUAUUUAAAUAUUAGAAGUUUGCCUUUUCAACUAAAAAGGAUAUUGUUAUUGUGGUUAACAUGAGUUCAGGACACGGUGUUUCUAUAGAUGUAUUUCUUCGGAUACUAUUCCCCACUAAUAGUCAGGAAUGACUUCUAUUCUGCCUAUUACAUGUAUAAAAUCUGGAAAGAACUAAUGGUUUAGUUCUGCAAAUUCUAUACGGAAAGGGAAAGAACAAACUAGACACAAGGAUAACCUUGAUGGACUAUUAUUUUUUAAUACUAUCAGCCUGUACUCAUGAAAUACACUACAAGGAAAUAAUCACCUACAAGUUGUCCCUAUAUAAGGUACUCUUUUGGCUAUUCCACUACAAAUUAGUUACUCUUUCAGCAAUUUCAAUACAAAUUAGUGUGUUUUGCCCAAUAUUAUGUACCUAGAACAGUAUACACCCUAUCGAUUUACAACCAUCCAUUUCUGGGUCUAGAGUUUGAACCAUCUCUUUUUGUUCAUUGUCCCAAAAAAUAUUUACUCAUCGUUGAACAAUAACGUAAUGCCUGCCAUAGUAAGAAUUUGAACAACAGUGUGCAUGUUCUUGAUGAUGAUCCCAUGAUAAGUCAGCAUUAUCUUUUUUGAAUUGGCAGGUAAGGUCGUACCGACGACAAUAUUUGACUUCGUUGUAUUUUUGUUCCUCUCACGGGACAUCAUACCAGAGUUGAAACCGAACUGAAGGGGGACGCCAUGGAGCAAGUCGAGUUCGUGGAGCAAGUCAUUGACGAUGCCAAGGAAGGUACACUCUCUCCCUCUCCUUACCGUGCUACUGCUCGUUGUGUCCAUGGCCAUUGAGCUGUGCUGCUGUCGACGCACAUUUAUAAGAUUGGGGGCUGUAGGUUUCAGUGGAUUUAUUUAGAAAUAAAUAGAUCUGUUGGUUCACUGAAAACAGUUUUACUGUAGAUGUAAAGAAUUAGCAAUGGAUCUCUAGGCUGGUGAUGACCAUGUAAAUUCAUUUUAGUGGAUUUGGGGCUGUAGGUUUGUUUCAAAGCGUGGUGAGCACUUAUAGGUUUCCCUAUUUCCUGUUGGAUGACUGAAACCAACUAGAAAUAUAUAUUUUGGUUCAGUUUCAGAUGACAAACCGUUUUGGUCCAGUUUGCUAACUAACUAGAGAAGAAACGAGAAGUGGUACUGCCAAUCACAUUGCCCUAUGCACAUCAGCACUUAGGCUAAUGUCCAUAUAAUUUUAUUUAGCCAUGUUUUCUGCAGGUUGUGUCGUAUAUUGUGGCGUCUGGAUUAGUCAUCAAGGACAACUAACACUCAUGCUGGUAUCUUCUCAUAAUCACAUACGAAUUUCUGUUCAAAUUGUAGUGCUAUCUUGUUUAUUUUUUUCUUCUUAUUUGCUAUUAGACUGUUGUCCAGACCAAAAAAAAAGUGCUGAUGAGCAGUAAGUUUGCGCAAAGUGGUUCUUACUUCUUAAUGCACUGUGUGUUAACGGUUCAUUUUGUUAUUUUCUUUGUAGAUUCAAAAGAUACAUGGAUGAUUAUAUGGGUGCAUGGCAAGUACACUGCAAUGUGAUGAUGAUGAUGAUCUUCCAGUUCAUGAUGAUGAUGAUGGAUGCAUUCAGUUUUAGUUAAGUUGUAGGGAUGUUGUUCCUCGGUUAUGUUUUAGUUAAGUAUCAGGGAUGUUGAUGGAUGCUUUUAGUUUAAGUUUCUUUGUCGAGAAAAUAUUUAGAUAUGCAUCACAUUUGGAUGCUCUUCCUCCUGUAAUAUCCACUACUGUAAUCCAACAAUUUUAUCCAAUAUAUGAUUUCUUCCUCUUGUGAGUA